UAAUAAACAUGAAUUUUCUAAUUUUUACUUUUGAAAAUCAAUUUAAACAUAAAUACGAACACGUUGAACCAAUUCGUUCGUCAAGUUUGGGCCGUAAGAAGGGAGCAAUAAAGCCCGGCCCAAUUAGUGGCCCAAACUCAUUGGUAGUUUGGGUCUCGGUUCGAUUCCAACGGGAGAUGGACCUUUCUGAGUCGCCAAAUCAAAGCGAAUUCCAUCUGUUGGCGCGGCCAUGGCGUCGUUUGGCUCUCUGAAGAAUGCCAUCUUCGAAAGAGAAGAGAGAAAACAGCAGUAUCAGGCGCAUGUGCGAGGCUCAAUGUUCACGAUCGCCGCAAGAAGUUUAUGCAGGUGAUUGCUUGUGAAAAGUUUUGGCAUUGUUUAGAUUUGAUCAAUGUUGGACGGAAGAAAUAGCUUGUUGACUUGGUGGUAGCCAAAUUGAUUAUCUGCUUUGGGAUCUUCUGAUAAAGUGGAGAUUGUUGUAAGUUGUGAUGAAGAAUAAGUUCAUGCAUCUUCUACGCAUAUGCUCAAAGAAGCUUCAUUACUAGAGAGAAAAUGAGAAACAGGAAAGGAUGGAGCAAGAAAUGUCCAAAAGGAAGAGGUACCACUCCAAACUUUAAGACCCUUUUGCCGUUUCUUUGCAGGAAAGAAGGCUUCAACAUCAUCACGGGGGGAUCAUAAAGCUGAUGACUAAAACGACUUUGAUGAAUAUGGGCCUCAAGGCUACACUUCCGGCCUCCACAAGGCAGUAUUUUCAGGUAUCUGCUUCCUUGAAACCUUUUCGAAGACGACAAAUGGCAAUUUAUAUCUUAAACAUAAAGCAUCAUGUGCAUGUGGUUGAUUCCCUAAUUGUUUAAUUGAGUUGUAUUGUAGCCUUGUCGUAAUCUAUCUACCUUGUUCUGUUGUAUGAGCUGUUAUGUGCAGCAGGAAUUUUAGUUCAGAAAAUCCAUCCACCCAAUUGAAACUAAUCAAAAGCUCUAAACCCUCCCAUAUAUUCAAUGUUCAUGCUCAGAUCCCCUUUUGUUCAUCGUCAUACUCGCUGUCACCACCCACCCUUUUCGACCUUUGUUGCCUUCCUCCCAUGGACUUGGACUUAAUUGUGGUCACCACCCACCCUUUUCGACCUCUCUUUCAAGUUUCGACCUUUGUUGCCUUCCUCCCAUGGACUUGGACUAUUGUAAUUGUGGUCACCACCCACCCUUUUCGACCUCUCUUUCGAGUUUCGACCUUUGUUGCCUUCCUCCCAUGGACUUGGACUAUUGUAAUUGUGAUAUACAAAAAAAGAAGUUUGGUCGAAGAUUAUUGAAAGAAAUAUUCUUAAAAUCAUGGGUUUAUAAGGUUCAUUGGUGUGAGGCCUUUUAGUAUUGUGAUUCUUAAUAAAGUUGUGGGUUGGUGGACGUGGACAAUGGGAUAAUUUCUCUCCGUCCUCUAGUUAUAUGAAUAACAAAAUUUUAUUAAUAAAGUCACUCUGGAGGUAUCUUUCUAAUAUAUAGUUUUAUUAAUAUAUUUUGACAAUUGGGCAUCUUGAUGUCAUUUUGAUGGUUAGUGCAUUGGGUGGGGUAAUAAAAGUAUUAUACAACUUUAAUUAAA